rnacentral:lncRNA from 1 species
CAAUAAACUUGCAACUUUUCUGUUUGAAAGGGUAUUUGCGCAUACGUUUCUCUUGCGAAUAAAUUCAAGAAUCGAGCCUCUGAGCCACUUCAGCUAUAGCACGGCUCAUUGUGUCAAGCAUUGGCUGCCGGUUUGAGCGGCUUAGCGCUGCUUUCGGUGCGCUCUUAUUUGUUCAAUUUAAAAAAUUAUUAUUUUGGCUAUUAUUGGAGAUAUCCAAAAACUAUAGUAGAUUUUUAUGUUCACCUUAAUCUCGUCUAUCUUUCUAUUAAGUAUUGCAUACAUUAUACGAGACACCGUGUAUAUAGGGCGUUUUCUGUAAAUGGAGAUCUCUCUCUGCCCAGAAUAUACUUCAAUAUUAAAAAAGCAGCAAGUGCGCAAAUUAUAGCUAAAAACGUCUAUUUUUAAAUGCCGUUUGGUAUUUUUUGAAAAAUUUAGUACAAGAUACCAAUAUGGUGUCAAAUUGAGACUAUUUUCCCUCAUUUAUGAACAGAAUAUUUGAACAAAAUAUCAAGACACAAUAUAUAGACUUUAAAAUGCGUUUUCAGAGUAGCUGAAAAUUUCUAGAUACUCAUUUUAGUUAAAAUAUUAUUUUUUGAUACUUCGAUCGAAUAUUCUGCGUGUAACUCACUGAUUUUAGUUAUAAUUUGUUCGAAACUGAUGAACAAUUAUUGCAAACGUAUAAUAUUACAAAUUUAAAAAUCAGAAAUUUUCGAGCUAACUACAAAGGGUUUCAAAAUAUAGAUUAUAAUAUAGCUGAACAAUCUAAUAGUAAUGUGUCUACAACUGGUAAUCAACAAUCAUUUGUAUUAAAAAAAUACACAAAAAGAAAAUGUAACAAACAAUAUGGCUGGACUAUCUAAUAAUAAUUUGUCCGGAACUGAUGAACAAUUAUUGCAAACAUAUAAUAUUACAAAUUUAAAAAUUAGAAAUUUUCGAGCUAACUACAAAGGGUUUUAAAAUACAGAUUAUCAUAAUUUAAGUCAACAUUAUGUAGAAAAAAUGGAAGUCGAGUGUCAAUAUUGUAGAGGGAAACAUUUUCAUGCUGAAAAAGUUCACAAUAAAGAUAACUCAUUCAAAGAUAGUUGUAAUCAUGGAAAAGUUAUAUUGGAACCUUUACCAACAUUUUUUAAUGAACUACAACAAUUAUUUUUGGGAAAUCAUAAAAAAUCUAAUGAGUUUUUUUAAAAACCUAAGAAGUUACAAUGGUGCAUUUUCUUUUGCAUCUCUUAAUGCUAAUUUGGUUAAUUUUAAUGCAUAAAAACGAGGACCUUAUUGUUUCAAAAUUCAAGGUUAAAUUUAUUACCAAAUUAAUACUGCAUUAUAUCCUGCUAUAAAUGAGCAAUCAAGUUAUGGACAGCUUUUUAUUCUUGACGCUAACGAAGCUACAGAAUGCCGUUUAAAUGUAAAUACAAAUCUUCAUGAAGAGUUAUUGCGUACAUUAGAUGACAUUAUUCGUAAUAAUAAUAUAUUUGCUCAAUCAUAUCAAAUGAUGCACGAAGAAAUACUUAAUCAAAAAAGUUUAGGUUUAAAUAUACCUAAUUUAAAAAUAGGAUUUUUAAAUAAAAAAACAGGCAUUGAUCGUGGAAGAUAUAAUGUUCAAAAAAUUAAUAAAGUUGCUGCAAUAUUUUCAACUACUGCAGAUGGAAAUAUUCCUGAUUGUUAUGUUACAAUUAGAAACAAAUGUGAUAAAACUUUAAAAUACGUUAGUAUGGAUCCAAACGUUGAACCUUGGAUUUAUCCAAUGUAUUAUCCAUAUGGUACACAAGGUUGGCAUGAUAAUAUUAAACAAAUCGGAUGGAAAACGUGUAACUAGAUCCAUGUAUGUUCAAUACCGAAUGGCUGUAUGUAAUAAUGUCAAUGUUUUUUUAAUAGGUAAACGGCUAUUUCAACAAUGGCUUGUUGAUAGCUAUGUAAAAAUAGAAAAAGAUAGAAUUAAUUGGUGUAAAGUAAAUCAAAAACAUUUGAGAGUGGAAAAGCACCAAGGACUGAUUGACUAUUUAGAAAAAAAGUGGCUGAUACUAAUGUUUAUAUUGGACGUGUAAUAAUACUUCCUUCUACAUUUAUUGGUUCAUCUAGAAAUAUGAUGCAAAAUUAUCAAGAUGCGAUGACUAUUGUUCGCAAAUAUGAAACGCAGUUUGCCGCACAUACAUAUGUUAAUAACUAUGAAACAAAAUUGCAAAAUUACUAAUUUGGAAACUGUUGAUAAAUAUAUUUCUGCUGAAAUUCCCGAUCCUGCUAUUGAUAAAAAUUUACAUGAAAUUGUCAUGAAGAAUAUGAUUCAUGGACCAUAUGGUGAUUGGUGUAUGAUAAAUGGAAAAUGUUCAAAACAUUUUCCAAAAUCCUUUCACGAAGAAACAACUAUGGAUGAAAAUGGUUAUCCACAAUAUCGUCGAAGAGACACUGGCAUUUUGUAUGAGAAACCCGAAGAAUUUGUAGUAGAUAAUCGGUUUGUUCCUUAUUGUCCCAUAUUAUCACAAAUUUUUAAUUGUCAUAUUAAUGUUGAAGUUGUUUCAAGUAUUAAGUCAAUAAAGUAUUUAUACAAAUAUAUUUACAAAGGUCACGAUGCAGCAUCUGUAGUUAUAGAACAAGAUGUGAAUAAUGUAGAAAUUGUUCAUGACGAAAUCAAAGAUUUUAUUGAAGCACGCUAUGUAGGACCAGUUGAAGCUUACUGGCGUUUGUAGGUAAAACAUUACAAGAGAAGAGUCAUGCUAUUAUUCGUCUAUCUGUACAUUUGCCAAAUGAACAGAAUGUUAUUAUAUCUAAUAAUUCAAAUAAACAAGAUUUACAAUCUGCUUUAGAUCGUAUAACAAUGUUAAUGGAUUAUUUUAAAUAAAAUAAACGAAAUGUUGAUGCACGUCAGUAUGUAUAUACAGAUAUACCUUUAUAUUUUGUAUUUAAAAAGGUAACAUUUAACGGAAAACAAAUUUAUCGUUGGAAAAAACGUCAAUGUCAUUUUAACUAUAUUGGACGCAUGUACUCAGUUAGCCCAAUUGAAAUCGAAUUAUUUCAUUUACGUAUUCUUUUAUUGAAUGUUAAAGGAACAACAUGCUAUAAUGACUUAAAAACAGUCAAUGGUGAAUUACAUCAAACGUUUACUUCUUCAUGUUUAGCUUUAGGCUUAAUUGAAGAUAAUGAAGAAUGGAAAUGUGCAAUAAACGAAGCUUCUAUUUGGAUGAUGCCAAGACAACUUAGGUUACUUUUUGUUCGAAUAUUAAUACAUUGCCAACCAGGGCAUUCAAAAGAAUUGUGGGAUGAAUUUCAAGUUGCAAUGUCAGAAGAUUACAUACGACAAUUUGGACGAGUCACUGGGAUAAGAAAAGCUUAUAUUCAAAUUGGUCAAUUACUUUGCAAAGAAGAUUGGGAACUUUCACAAUUUCCAGAAAUGGAACAAAUAACGAUUGAAUAUGAAAAAGAACAUGCCAAACAAUUGAAAAAAGAAGUCUUACUUGGUGAACAACAAUACAGUCAGUUAAAUCAUGACCAAAAAAUAAUUGUUGAUUAUGUUUUAACUCUUUUAGAAAAAACUGAUGGUCAACAAUUAAAAUGUUUAUACAUUGACGGUUUAUACAUUGACGGUUUAUACAUUACCUGGAGAUUCAGGUAAAAUUUUUGUUUAUACAACAUUAUAUUAUAUUACUAUUUACUCAAGUCUCAAAACAAAGUUGUUAGUACAAUGGCUUUCACUGGUUUCGCUGCAACGUUACUACCGAAUGGAAAAACAACACAUAAAACUUUAGGUUUGCCCAUGCCUCUUUUUGCUGACUCAACAUCGAAUAUAAAAAUUCAAUCAAAAGAAGCUGAAUGUUUGAAGAAAACAGAUGUUUUUAUUUGGGAUGAAGCACCAAUGGCACCGCGAUAUGCUCUUGAAGUGAUGGAUCACCUUUUGCAAGAUUUAAUGCAAAAUAAUCUAAAAUUUGGUGAUAAAAUUGUUAUUCUUGGUGGGGAUUUCAGACAAUUAUUGCCAGUACAACAAAACGUUACACGUCUGAAAUUGUAAAUUUGUCAAUUAAAUUUAGCUCAUUAUGGCAACAUUUCAAAAUCUUUUCAUUAACGGAAAAUAUGCGUAUUUUACGAUAUGAACAAGAAUUUGCUAAUUUUUUAUUAGAUUUGGGAAAUGGUACUUUGAAUGAUCAAUUUAAUAAUAUUGAAGUUCUACUGAGAUGUGUAGCAGAUUUGAACGCAAAUAUAGUAAAAGAUACAUACGAAGAAAUAUUUAAACACUAUCAGUAUAGACUUACAGCAAAACGUGCUAUACUUUCUGCACGAAAUGUUGAUGUGGAGGAACUAAACAAACAAGUUGUAAAUUUACUUGACGAAUCAACAGAAAGAGUGUAUACAAGUAUAGACACUACAGAAACUACUAACGAUAUUCAUGAUAUUAAUAAAACUAUUUUAACAGAAUAUUUGAGUACUUUAAAUCCAGCGAUUCUUCCACCUCAUAAACUUCGAUUAAAAAAAUACACGAUUAUCAUGUUGAUUAGAAAUCUAAACAUCAGCAAAGGUUUAUAUAAUGGAACAACAUUGUUAAUUUUAGAGUUAAGAAACAAUUUGUUAAAAUGCGAAAUUUUAACUGGUGAUAAAAAAGGGGAAAUAGUUUUUUUAAAUCGCAUAACUUUAUAUUGUGAAAACGUUUAUUCAUUUGUGAUGAAAAGAAGACAAUUUCCGAUAAAAAUAGCUUUUGCUAUGACAAUAAAUAAAUCACAAGGACAAACAUUUGACAAAAUUGCAAUUGAUUUAAGAAAAUAUAUUUUUAAUCAUGGUCAACUUUAUAUGGCAUUUUCACGAGUUAGAUCUUGGAAAUCAUUGAAAAUUGAUUUAGGACAAAAAAGACAAAA